rnacentral:rRNA from 1 species
CGGCGGCCCGAGUGGUAGCCGUUUUUAUUGGGUCUAAAGGGUCCGUAGCCGGCUUGAUAAGUCUUUUGGGAAAUCUGACAGCUUAACUGUCAGGCUUCUAAGGGAUACUGUCAGGCUUGGGACCGGAAGAGGUAAGGGGUACUCCAGGGGUAGGAGUGAAAUCUUGUAAUCCCUGGGGGACCAUCUGUGGCGAAGGCGCCUUACCAGAACGGGUCCGACGGUGAGGGACGAAAGCUAGGGGAGCAAACCGGAUUAGAGACCCGCGUAGUCC